AUUUGUUUUACCAAAACGCUUUGGAAAAAUUUUAUAAACUCCUAAAUUGCUUAUAAAUUAUUUUAAAGAGCUUCUACCGCGUGCCCUCUAAAUCCUGCUUUGAUUUACUCCAAAAUUGAGUGAAGAGCCAUAAAAGUUGAGUUAAAUGACACCUCUAAAAUUCACUAGUUUGAACUUGAGCUACUAACUUGAGCUGCUGAUCGGAACAGUAGUUGAGGUGUAUUCGUUGGUUUAAGGAGGUGAUUUGGAAGGCAGAUCGGAGAUAGCAUGCAAUGCUCGGCCGCCGAGCUGGCGAGGCUGAUGGUGGCAGCAUCCAGCCGCGCAUGGACGCCGUCGCUCGAACAAACACUCCACCACCUCGGUUGCCGCAAGUCAUUGAGCCCGACCCUUGUCGCCCGAGUCAUCGACCCCUUCCUCCUCAACCACCACUCUCUUGCCUUGGGAUUCUUCAACUGGGCAUCCCAGCAGCCCGGCUUCUCCCACACCUCCGCCACCUAUCAAUCCCUCCUUAAAUCCCUCUCCCUUUCCCGCCAAUUCAACUCUAUCGAUAAGCUCUUGAAGCAGGUCAGAGCGCACAAGGUUUUCCUGCAGCCCCACGUUUAUCGCUCCCUCAUUGCUUCCCUUGUCGCUGGGAGGAGAACUCACUCGGCCUUCUCUCUCUUUCAUGACGUUGCCUCCAUCGCACGGGAGAUAGGGCCUGAAGCUUGUAAUUCGCUUCUAGCCGCCUUGGCGUCUGAUGGGAGUAUGAAGAGUGCCCGCAAUUUGUUCGAUGAAAUGCUUAACAGAGGUGUUCGGUUCAGUACUCUUGGUUUUGGGGUUUUUGUGUGGAGGGCUUGCAGACAGAUGGAACUGAGUGAGAUUCGGGGUCUCAUUGAUGGUGUGAAAAGGGUUGAUUUUUCGGGGAUUAAUGGGUCAGUUGUUGCGCUGUUGGUGGUUCAUGGUUUGUGCACGGAUCGUCGGGUGAAUGAUGCGAUGUUCGCAUUGGAGGAGUUGAGGAUCAGAGAGUGUAAGCCCGACUUUAUGGCGUAUAGAGUUGUGGCUGAGACGUUGCGCCAGAUGGGAUGCGUGGUUGAUGUGCAGAUGGUUUUGAAGAGGAAACGAAAGUUAGGAGUGGCGCCGAGGGCUAAUGAUUAUAGAGAGCUUAUUCUUGAGUUUGUUAGGGAGAGACACUUUUGUGAAGCAAAAGAAUUGGGCGAGGUGAUUGUGAGUGGGGAUUUUCCGAUUGAGGAUGAUGUUCUGAACGUGUUGAUAGGAUCUGUUUCGUCUUCUGAUCCUGCGCGUGCAAUCUCAUUUUUGAGGUUCAUGCUCGAGAAAGAGAGAUUACCGACUCUGCUCACAGUGAUCAACUUGAGUGAAAAUCUUUGUAAGCAUGGAAAUGGAGAAGAGUUGGUUCAAGUUUUCCAGCUCUUAUCCACGAUGGAGUACUUCAGGGACUUGGAGAGUUACAAUGUGAUGGUUUCCUACCUUUGUAAGGCGGGAAGAGUUAAAGAAGCUUAUCAGGUGCUUCAGGAGAUGAAGAAGAAAGGUUUGGGACCGGACGUGUCAUCUUACAAUUCUCUUCUUGAAGCUUGCUGCAGGGAGGAUCUUGUGCGCCCUGCAAAACGCCUGUGGGAUGAGAUGUUUGCAAAUGGUUGUUGUGGUAAUUCCGAGAGUUACAAUAUCCUUAUCAAAAAAGUAUGUGAAGUAGAUGAGGCUGAAGACGCUUGCCACCUGUUUCACCAGAUGCUAUUGAAAGGAUUGGAACCCGAUGAGUCGACAUACAGAUCCCUCCUUCAAGGCCUCUGUCGGGCAAAAAAUGUUGAAUUAGCUCUUGAAAUAUUCAACAAGGCCGUUGAACAGGACGAACAACUUGCCAAGGCCUUACUCAAUACAUUUAUUCUUUGCCUCUGCAAACAAGGUUUUCUCCUUCCGGUUUCUAAAUUACUGCGUGAACUCACACGGGGUAUAGGAUGCGUGGAAUCCCAUUUGACUUUUCUGAGAUACUUGGUUGAUGCUGGACAGCAUUCCUUGGCCUGCAAGCACUUACAAUGGAUUGCAGAUGAAUCACCUGAAAUGCUACAUGCUAUUCCCCCCGAAUUCGCUGCAUCACUCUCAUCUUCAUGACUCAGAUUAUCAAUGCUCAUUACAUUUACAAGCGCUGAAGCUGAUGCCUCUAUAAUCACUGUCUACCAUUUCAGAUAUAAACAUCCAGAGCCAAUGGUUCACAUUGGAUGUUUCUACAUGAUCAUCUGUAGCUCCUGUACUCAACAAUCAACACUAGGGACAUGGAUAUCAGCUUCUGACUCAAUUCUUCUAAUCCUUCAUGGUGACAACAUUUUACACUAGAAUUGUUCGAGGGAUAAUACACAAGAAGGCCAAUUCUUUGUUUUGGAUACAAGGUAUUUGCUCUCCACAGAUAUUUCACACUCUCUUUUGAACAAGCUGUUGAACAUUCCCGGUAAAGCUUCUCCAUUCAUAUCUGAUUGUGACAUAAGAUCUCUAAGAGAAGGAAGAAAAGCAAUGAUGUCAAAUUACAACUUUGCUCUAUUCAUUGGCAUUGAUUUGUAGAAAUCAGAUUGUUUGGCGUUGACUUAGAUUUCAUUCUCUUUUGUGUAGCUAGAAUGGUUCAUCUUUCACUGAUAAGAAUGCAGGAUGUUCCAUAACCGAAAUUCUUCAUUAGCUUAAGUUAGAUCAAGAUCAUAAAUCAGAAAAACUAGUAUAAAAAUGCUGCAGGUAAUGUAAGUUCAGUUUAGUACUUAAACCUCAUCCUCACCAAAUGCAUAUAUAUCAACUAUAUAAAUUAUAAUUUGGCAAUUGAAAAAAAGUUUCUAAGAGCCAAUCCGAACGAAAUCAGGCUUAAACCAACCAAAGAACUUGACUAAUUUAUAAGCUCUUCAGCUGUCAGUAUAUUGGCUAACUGAUAUCACUCUAACACAAGACUUCCUACUUAGACAAAUUUAGCUCACUCAGUCUGUUGUAGUCACUUGAAAGCUAACAACUUUAGUUAGUUGAUCAGUCUUGUUAUCAGUAAGCAAAGCAACACAAAGAUUCGUAACAUGUCUCCCUAACCCCCCCCCCCCCCCAACACACACACACACUAGUAUUUACUUUUCUGUGACCAACAUAAUAUAAUAUAUAUUAAUUAUUUUUUUUAUAAAAACAUAGGUUAAUUAGAUAUUUAAUAUAAGUUUAACCUAGUAAUGAUUUUAUAAUUUUAAGUUAAUCACUUAACGAGUUUGUUCAUCAGCUAAUGAAUCUAAUACUAUCAAGCUCCAACUUUGAUCGUUUGCCUAACAAGUUUCACUUAACGAGUUCGAAUGAUCUUUUAUCGUAUUGAACUAUGAAUUGCUCGUGAGUAGCUUGCUCACAAGUUCAAACGAGCUUUUAUCGACCUGAACUAUAGAAUAUAAUAAUAGAUGAAAAGGUCAAAUGAUAAGCUAAACACUAAAGUGACGUUUUCUCUAAGAAAAAGACUAAAAUGCAGCGGGAACCCUCUUCUCAACAAAAUCCCUAAAAUUGUUAACUUGCUCACCACCGCGCCGCUGCUUCCAACUUACCGUGCUGUUGCUUCCAGUUCGCUGCGCCACUGCUACAUAUACUCGCCGUGGCUUCUGACUCGCCGCGCCACCUCCUGUUGUCUCCACCAUUGAAUCAGAAUAUUACAAAUGACGACUCCUCCAAACACUGAAUCGGUUCAAGAGUCAACUACUAGUCCAGCUUUUGUAUCUUUAAAUGUUGAUGUUAUGAGGAAGAUACACCUCAAGUAGAGACUCAGACUCAAACUGAAUAUGAUGCGAGAGAUCCAUUCCAACAUAAAAAAAAGCAAGAAAACAUCAAAAGUAUGGGAGAACUUUAAAGAGGUUACUCUUCCAAAUGCUACCAAUAAAGUUGAGUGCAUUCAUUGUAAGAUGAGGCUUACAGUAAACAAGACUGUGCUACAUCACACUUCUUGAGGCAUCAAUCACUGCAUUGCUAACAAGAUUCAAAAAUCAAAAGGUCAGCAGAAUCUUACCAUUACAAAGUUAUCUAUGGAAGAAACUGUCUUUAAUAUUAUGACCAUUCUUAGCUUUAGAGCGGUUAUCUCGCACAUGGUUAUAAUGAGUUGCCAUUUAGCUUUUCGGGAAAUGAUUUGUUCAACUUGGUGAUGCAAACUGCCACUCCUUGUUUUCCAGAAGAUUAGUUAUGCCAUGGCAAAGAAGUAUUGCAUUACUUCUUAUGAGAUGAAAAAGAAGAAGUUGAUGGAAGAAUCGUAUUGUGCAUCUGAUCUUGGUAGCUUGUUCCUUUUGAUAAAUUGGUUUUGUUGAUUUAUAUGUACGGAACUAAUUAACAUUGUUAUGUUUAUACAUUGAAUUCAACGUCCAAUGAUUUAAGAUGCUGAACUUCGAGUUCAACUUAAAUC